UAGCGUAUAUUAAGUUGUUGCGGUNAAAAAGCUCGUAGUUCGAGUUCAGUUUCGGACUGGGGUGGGAGGUCACCGCCCGGUGCUUCCCCUCUAGGCUCCGAACAGCUUCCUUUAUGGGAAGCCAAGCCGGUUCUGGCGGGGUGCUCUUUACCGAGUGUCCCGCGCGGCCGGCCAGUUCACCUUGAAUAAAUGAGAGUGCUCAAAGCAGGCUACUCUGGAAUACAAUGCCCGAAUGUUAACUGCAUGGAAUGAUGGAAGAUGAUCUCGGUUCCAUUUUGUUGGUGGUGGGAGCCAGAGGUAAUGAUAAACAGGGACUGUCGGGGGCAUCCGUACUACGACGCGAGAGGUGAAAUUCAGUGACCGUCGUAGGACGAACAACAGCGAAAGCAUUUGCCAAGAAUGUCUUCGUUGAUCAAGAACGAAAGUUAGAGGAUCGAAGGCGAUCAGAUACCGCCCUAGUUCUAACCCUAAACGAUGCUGACUAGCAAUUCGCCGUCGUUAUUCCCAUGACGUGGCGAGACGCCCCCGGGAAACCUCAAGUUUUUGAGUUCCGGGGGUAGUAUGGUUGCAAAAGUGAAACUUAAAGGAAUUGACGGAAGGGCACCACCAGGAGUGGAGCCUGNGGCUUAAUUUGACUCAACACGGGAAAGCUCACCAGGCCCGGACACCAGAAGGAUUGACAGAUUAAGAGCUCUUUCUCGAUUU
rnacentral:rRNA from 1 species